CUAGCAUAUCAAUAAGCGGAGGAAAAGAAACCAACAGGGAUUGCCCCAGUAACGGCGAGUGAAGCGGCAACAGCUCAAAUUUGAAAUCUGGCCUCGGCCCGAGUUGUAAUUUGCAGAGGAUGCUUCUGGCGAGGCACCGACCGAGUCCCCUGGAACGGGGCGCCAUAGAGGGUGAGAGCCCCGUAUGGUCGGACGCUUAGCCUGUGUGAAGCUCCUUCGACGAGUCGAGUAGUUUGGGAAUGCUGCUCAAAAUGGGAGGUAAAUUUCUUCUAAAGCUAAAUACCGGCCAGAGACCGAUAGCGCACAAGUAGAGUGAUCGAAAGAUGAAAAGCACUUUGAAAAGAGGGUUAAAUAGCACGUGAAAUUGUUGAAAGGGAAGCGCUUGUGACCAGACUUGCGCCUGGCCGAUCAUCCGGGGUUCUCCCCGGUGCACUCGGCCAGGCUCAGGCCAGCAUCGGUUCUCUCGGGGGGACAAAGGCUCCGGGAACGUAGCUCCCUCCGGGGAGUGUUAUAGCCCGGGGCGUAAUGCCCUCGAGGGGACCGAGGACCGCGCUUCGGCAAGGAUGCUGGCGUUACGGUCAUCAGCGACCCGUCUUGAAACACGGACCAAGGAGUCAAGGUUUUGCGCGAGUGUUUGGGUGUAAAACCCGCACGCGUAAUGAAAGUAAACGUAGGUGAGAGCUUCGGCGCAUCAUCGACCGGCCCAGAUGUUCUCGGAAGGGCCUGAGUAGGAGCGUUAAGCCUUGGACCCGAAAGAUGGUGAACUAUGCUUGGAUAGGGUGAAGCCAGAGGAAACUCUGGUGGAGGCUCGCAGCGGUUCUGACGUGCAAAUCGAUCGUCAAAUCUGAGCAUGGGGGCGAAAGACUAAUCGAACCAUCUAGUAGCUGGUUACCGCCG
rnacentral:rRNA from 1 species